UUUUCUGGCUGCGCUGUGCCACAUUGAUUUAAAUGUAUCUGUUGAGGAGAAAAUAAUCAAUGCAAAUUCCCUGGCAGUGCAGGCAACAAAUAAGACAUGUCUGAUUCAUCAAGCGGACAUCGCUAUAAAGACCACUCUUUCUCCUUUGUCCCAUUUCUCUCUCCCUCUCUCUCUCUCUUGCUCUCUCUCUCUCUCACCCCUGGGCCACUUCACCCUUUUUUACUCCGUCCACCUUCCUCUGGCUAAAAUGUCUUAGCCUGAAUUAGUGGAAGGAGCUUUAUCCUUAUACAUAUACCUGUGGAAUUGCAGCAUAGCUAUUUCUUUAAGAGUCAAGCAAGGCCGAAGGCUGACGCAGCGCGCCCACCGUGAAAGGAAGGGUGACACCCGCUAGUCUAUCUUAGAUAAUGUCAGUUUCUAAAAUGCACCAUCUGCUGUUCAGUGCAUGCUGGGAAAGGCUCGUUCCAGACAGGAGAUGUUAAGGCCUGUUGCAGAUCGACCAUAAAUCCCAAACUUAGUCGUCCUUUUUGUCGCAAAGGGAUGUUGCUGUCUGGCCGAAGAUGGAACGUGGAUGAAGGCUGGACAGAGACCUCUAUGACAGCCCCUCUGAGGACUGAAUGGACAGCGGCGUCUGAUGAAUGGCCAGCCUCCCUCUUAAUCACAAAGCACUCGCACCAAGUGAGACACAGCAACAAAGGCAUCUAUGAGGUUCUUAAAAUACCUUCGCUGACAAACUAACUUUUGGUGGUUUAUCGCUGUUUCUCUUUUGCAACUGGUCAUGUCAACAAUUUUUUUUCUUUUUUUUUAUUGUAUAUUUGUAUGUCAUUGUAUUUUAUAUUAAAUGCAAGAAAAGUUAGAUUGAUAGUGCCUUCCGCUAAAGUCUUCUUUUACACGGAUUCUAAUACUUUGUACUUUGUACUGUUCAAAUGAUAUAUAGGUAUUUCAUAGAUUACAUUGUAACAGUACAGACAUAUAUGGUGUACAUGUCUUUCUUUCUAAGGGACUUGUUAUUCUCUAUUUUCACGUUUCCCCUUUCUCUUUCACAUGCCCUGAUUCUCUUGAAUUGUAGAGAAAGAAGUCAAAUUUGUCCAAGGGGGCAUAAAAAAGUAUUUUGUCUUUGUUGUAAAGGGUUUUGGCUGAAGACGAUCCCAUGCGUCAGAGGACCAGGUGUGUAUUAUUUCACAGCUGAAAAACAUUCCCUGCUUAAGAUUUUUUCAAAAUAAAACGUGAUGUUUUAUCAUUCACUGGGAAGGAGUGAACCCAAGGAUGAUCAUUGAAUCAUUUCGAUCUCUUUACAACUGGGCAAGAUUGGUUUACAUAAAGGCCAGAAAGACUUACAGCAUUCUUCCCUACAAAACGGGAGUGUCUGAGUUUGGCCUACACACAUGACAUUUAACUGUAUGCUGAAAAUGUUUUAUUUCCUCUCCCAAGGUUGCAAUGUGUGUUCACAAAAAGCUUUUGUGUACUUGAUGUGAAAAUCAUAUUUCAUCCUGAGUCCCAUUUAGGAAUAGCUAAAUGUACUGUAGGUCCUAAUAGUCAGGGAAAAGGCUUGUGUCAGUGGAAAAAGGUGACCCUAAAUACAUCCUUCACUGUUUGCACAUUGAUGAGUGGCAAGCAAAAUUGUCCUUCAGAGCCUGUUAUUAUUUGAGCAAGCUAUUGCAAUGCACGGCGCACAGUGAGCCUGGAGCAUAGGUUGCAUUUUGCUGUACACUCCACUGCAAAAUGGGACUAGUCAAGCCCUAAUGUAACCAGCAAAAGCUGGAUAAAAAUCUAUACAAACUCAAUUAUGAAUCAAUUUGAGUUUGUGUCAGACAGUCUGGUGCCAACAGAGUGGAUUUUUUAUUAACUUAUGGUCUGGGAAGAAUGAAACACUUUUCAUUUGUGUACUUCAGUAUGUUGCUUCAUGAUUCAGAGGAAGGGUGUUCACACUUUGUUUUUGAGGGAUUUAUCUCUCAUGGUGGACCGGCUGGAGGCAAACAGCAUUUGUGUCCUGAUUAUGGAGUCAUGAUAGUUAAAUCCUUACGAUGUGAGAAGAUAGAGAACCCCUUUUGAAAAGCAGAAGGUAGCUCAACAGUUGAUUAAGUAAUUAAGAUUAAAUCCCUCCCACAUUGAUUCGUCUUUCCACGCUGCUGUAUUACAUUUGAGUACAGAUUUUUUUUUUUUUUUACCGUGCACCCCACUGUCCUGCUCCAGCGUAUCAAACUAGGUCACAGGCUUGAAUAUUCAUGAUCCUCUAUGACAACUCCCUGCUAUUCCGUGUCAAGACCUAUGUUAAUUCUGAGAUUUGCACAUUUGAGCCUGCUUGAAACUCUUUAGCUUCACUACUUCAGAUCCUGAGAACCAGGUUGACAACCUUAGCAGAAAAGGAAACAUUGUGCUGUACGAGACUCGGAAGAAAUGUGCCAAAUAUCCAAAAGUUUGGUGUACAUUUAAAGCAAGUAGGUUCUCUGCUUGACAAAUGGCUGCCAUUUUGAAGGGUCACUCAGGAAACAUCUGUGAUAGCUUGAGAUGUUAUUGAUUUCAACGAGAUAGCCAUGUGGCCAAUGGGAUUUUCUAGAGGAUGCUGUUGUUCUGCACGCACGUAAUGGUCAGUUAGACCCACAGCUAUUCAACAUUACAAUACACCUGUCAAUCAUUGUCCGUCGCGUAGUUAUCAUCUGCCAGUUGCCAUUUCUGUUCUAUUGUUGUGUGUGUGUGUGUGUGUGUGUGUGUGUGCGUGCGUGCAUCCACACAAACACUCAAGGGUUCCAUUAAAAGUUGCCCUAC
ensembl:lncRNA